rnacentral:rRNA from 1 species
UUGCUGGAACGCGCUUCGGCGCACCCAGAAACCCUUUGUGAACUUAUACCUAUCUGUUGCCUCGGCGCAGGCCGGCCUCUUCGCUGAGGCCCCCUGGAAACAGGGAGUAGCCCGCCGGCGGCCAACUAAACUCUUGUUUCUAUAGUGAAUCUCUGAGUAAAAAACAUAAAUGAAUCAAAACUUUCAACAACGGAUCUCUUGGUUCUGGCAUCGAUGAAGAACGCAGCGAAAUGCGAUAAGUAAUGUGAAUUGCAGAAUUCAGUGAAUCAUCGAAUCUUUGAACGCACAUUGCGCCCUCUGGUAUUCCGGAGGGCAUGCCUGUUCGAGCGUCAUUUCAACCCUCAAGCCUGGCUUGGUGAUGGGGCACUACUUUCUCACGGGAGUAGGCCCUGAAAUUCAGUGGCGAGCUCGCCAGGACCCCGAGCGUAGUAGUUAUAUCUCGCUUUGGAAGGCCCUGGCGGUGCCCUGCCGUUAAACCCCCAACUUCUGAAAAUUUGACCUCGG